UGUCGAAGGUGAAGCUGCAUGGGUGAUGUAGCCGGUUGGCUGUAGUGCGGAGUUAUAAUAUAUGUUGUAUAUUACUUUUCUUCUUCUAGGAUUACUGGUCUAUUUUGACAAAUGAAAUUAGUUAUCAUAAAUCUAUUUUGAUCAAUGAAAUGAAUAUAUGUUUGUGUACAGCUUGUUCCCACGCACGACUUGUAGUUGUAAACUUAUGCAUUUGGGGCUAUUAAAGGGAGGCAAUUGACGUGCAUGUCAAGAGGAGUUAUUCUGCGGCAACCCACAGAGUCAUGUUUGAUCAUUAAAAGAAAUGGCCACGGAUCCCCACGGACGCCGCCACUGCCGCGGAUCCCCACGGAUGAUGCAGACGCCGCCGAACAGAGCAGGAUGUGGUCGCGUUGCACUGAUUGGAGGAGACCGUGCCGGCCGUGCGCUGUUUGGAGGACGAACACAGGUUCACCGCCAUGGCUAUGAGAGGACGCAUUUGUGUUCAGUUGUUCGGGCAGAGGAGGCACUUUGUUGAAGCAUCAAGUGAAUUGAAAUGUGCAAAUGCUCUUGGUGCCCAUUAGUUCUUUGUGUGAGUAAGAAAUCGUUUUCUUCUCCAUAGCUGAGAAACCAGUAAAGAAAUUAUGUGUCAGGAGCAAGAAUCUUUUUCGAUGAAAGCCGCUACCUUUCAUAUAUAAAUUGUGUUCCUUUUCAAGAAAGAAAUCCAUAGCCUUGAAUCAAUAGAUAUACAUAAGUUUUAUGUUGAUGUUAUCUACAAUAAGAGUACUUGAAAUUGAUAGAGUUGCCAUUAGAUUUUCCAAGAAGAGGCAGACAUUAUAUCAC